rnacentral:tRNA from 2 species
GGGCCGCUAGCUCAACGGCAGAGCACUCGGCUCAUAACCGACUGGUUCCCGGUUCGAAUCCGGGGCGGCCCACCA